ensembl:lncRNA
GUUUCCGAAAUGUUUAGCUUUGUUUAUACCUAGCUUGGGCUCAAUCGGGUGUGACGUCACACACUCGAGAAGGGCUAAACGGAAGUUAUUGAAUUAUAAAACGACUGUUCAUCUUAUGAACUCACCUCACGCUUGGCGUGUGUAUUCCUGGGCUUAUUUGGACACAGGACACGUUCAAUAUGAAUGAAUUUCGGCCGAAGAAACAACGAGAGGCGCUCUGUGCAGCAGCGGGGAGCGGUGAUUCUGGAUUACGCGUACAUACAGACGUGUAGUGUCGACUCGGACACAUGACACGUUCAGUAUUAAUAAACCUAAUUCAAAACAUACAACCAGCGACGCUCUGGUAGCAGAUGGGGAGAACAUCAGGGCUCUGUGGACAGACUCCAGCAUGUCUUCAACUGUGUCGGCAGCGGUCCAACAAAAGCAAAGGUCCGACGUCUGCAGACCACUUGGAAUGCUGAAUUAAACAUUCCGUUGUUUUUAUUAGAAUGAUUUUUUAUUUAUUAUUUGGGAUGUUUGUAUGUAUUACAGAUGAGUGCCUUUAUGCCUGUAUGUCCUUCAGUUUUCUCGACAACCGUUGCUACGAUGGACUUCCCACUGGAUGUGUGCAUAUUUCUGGGAGGCCAAGAAAUAACAGUGUCAAGCAGCUCAAGCUGCAACAUUGGCCUGUCCAAACAAGCACGUCUCGAACGGACACUGCACUGGGUUGCCGCUGCUGUGGUUAAUGACUUGAAGAUGCUUCUUGAAAUUGACAGAUCCUUCAACAAGCACUCAAAGAAUCGUACGUCUUCUCAAGUGUUUCAAAGAAUGAACAAUUCAAGUGUCUGUAUAAAUCAGCCCCCUGCAUGGACCAAGUGAAUCUUGAGAAAUCUUGCAUAGUCCAAGUGCACAAUUCCUUUCUCUGCAUCACUUUCUAACAAAAUAGACAUAAUAACUUAAUGUCAAGAAUGAGACAGGGACUGCUUUGACAUAUCUUCCUGCAAUUGCUCUGUUAAAGGUGCCCAAAGUAUCCAAGAAAUGACAAACGGCUGUGGGGAGAAAGCAUUUUCUAAUUCAAUCAAUGUUCAAUCAAAAAGCGUUACUGAACCCCCUGUUACAGAUUAAAUUACUCAACAUGUUAUCCCCAUGGCUUAAUGACAGAUUUUUGAUACUUUGUUAGUACCGCAGUAGCAUUAUAAUGAGCAAAGUUGUUUAUGAAAUUUGCCACACACACUGUGGCGUUAAGGUGUCCGAGAAGCGUAACCCUCUCUCUCGGAGGCAGACAUAAAGACCAACCGGUUGCCAAACGGUGCUCAACACAUCCACACACACCUUGGCGUUAUACUAUGAAUGUCAGCGAAGCUAAACUCAUUGUGGACAGAUGUAAAUUACUUCUCGUAUUUGAACAAUAAUUUUGCCCUCUGUACAAAAUACAAUCAUUAAUUCCAAAAGUCCCAUAAUGAAUGGUUAUUUUAUAAUUUUGUG